AAUGCAGUCGAGCGGAAGAUGGGAGCUUGCUCCCUGAUGUUAGCGGCGGACGGGUGAGUAACACGUGGGUAACCUGCCUGUAAGACUGGGAUAACUCCGGGAAACCGGGGCUAAUACCGGAUGGUUGUUUGAACCGCAUGGUUCAGACAUAAAAGGUGGCUUCGGCUACCACUUACAGAUGGACCCGCGGCGCAUUAGCUAGUUGGUGAGGUAACGGCUCACCAAGGCGACGAUGCGUAGCCGACCUGAGAGGGUGAUCGGCCACACUGGGACUGAGACACGGCCCAGACUCCUACGGGAGGCAGCAGUAGGGAAUCUUCCGCAAUGGACGAAAGUCUGACGGAGCAACGCCGCGUGAGUGAUGAAGGUUUUCGGAUCGUAAAGCUCUGUUGUUAGGGAAGAACAAGUGCCGUUCAAAUAGGGCGGCACCUUGACGGUACCUAACCAGAAAGCCACGGCUAACUACGUGCCAGCAGCCGCGGUAAUACGUAGGUGGCAAGCGUUGUCCGGAAUUAUUGGGCGUAAAGGGCUCGCAGGCGGUUUCUUAAGUCUGAUGUGAAAGCCCCCGGCUCAACCGGGGAGGGUCAUUGGAAACUGGGGAACUUGAGUGCAGAAGAGGAGAGUGGAAUUCCACGUGUAGCGGUGAAAUGCGUAGAGAUGUGGAGGAACACCAGUGGCGAAGGCGACUCUCUGGUCUGUAACUGACGCUGAGGAGCGAAAGCGUGGGGAGCGAACAGGAUUAGAUACCCUGGUAGUCCACGCCGUAAACGACGAGUGCUAA
rnacentral:rRNA from 1 species